CGUUGCGGAUGUCGCGGCCGCUGGGUGACUUGAUCAUUCAGAGGAAAGUCCGAACACGGUAGGAUACGACGGUGGGUAACGCCCACCCCCCCGCCCCCGGAAGCUCAAGGCAAGCAACUGGUGUAAACAUCUAACAAGGUGAAUCGCCCAUGGACUUGUCUUUAACUUCCGGGGGCGGGGGAGGGACAGUGCCACAGAAAAGAUACCGCCGAUGGCCUUAACGGGCACAGGUAAGGUUGAAAUGGUGCGGUAAGAGCGCACCGCGUGGCUGGUGACAGUCAUGGCAAGGUAAACCCCGUCGCGUGCAAGACCAAGCAGUCUCCGAUGCCUUGUGCAUCACAGUUGAUUCCGGCUGAUGGGGACGGGUAGGUUGCUUGAGCCUGCGAGCAAUUGCAGGCCUAGAGAAAUGGUCGCAGCGUCAUUGACGUUAACAGAAUUCGGCUUACCGUCCGCAACGCAAG
rnacentral:RNase_P_RNA from 1 species